AGCGAACGCUGGCGGCAGGCCUAACACAUGCAAGUCGAACGAACUCUUCGGAUUUAGUGGCGAACGGGUGAGUAACACGUGGGAACGUGCCUUUAGGUUCGGAAUAACUCAGGGAAACUUGUGCUAAUACCGAAUGUGCCCUUCGGGGGAAAGAUUUAUCGCCUUUAGAGCGGCCCGCGUCUGAUUAGCUAGUUGGUGAGGUAAAGGCUCACCAAGGCGACGAUCAGUAGCUGGUCUGAGAGGAUGAUCAGCCACAUUGGGACUGAGACACGGCCCAAACUCCUACGGGAGGCAGCAGUGGGGAAUCUUGCGCAAUGGGCGAAAGCCUGACGCAGCCAUGCCGCGUGAAUGAUGAAGGUCUUAGGAUUGUAAAAUUCUUUCACCGGGGACGAUAAUGACGGUACCCGGAGAAGAAGCCCCGGCUAACUUCGUG
rnacentral:rRNA from 1 species